UAGCCAAAUGGCAAAAAACGGAACCCUUAUGGAUUCCUCAUGUCUGUCCGUCUGUCUGUCUGUCCGUGUAUGUCACAGCCACUUUUUUCCGAAACUAUAAGAACUAUACUGUUGAAACUUGGUAAGUAGAUGUAUUCUGUGAACCGCAUUAAGAUUUUCAUACAAAAAUAGAAAAAAAACAAUAAAUUUUGGGGUUUCAGUUCUAAGUAUGGGGAACCCCCAAAAUGUAUUGUUUUUUUUUCUAUUUUUGUGUGAAAAUCUUAAUGCGGUUCACAGAAUAUAUCAACUUACCAAGUUUCAACAGUAUAGUUUCGGAAAAAAGUGGCUGUGACAUACGGACGGACGGACAGACAGACAGACAUACAGACAGACAGACAGGUAUGGCGAAUUCACAAGGGUUCCGUUUUUUUUGCCAUUUGGCUACGGAACCCUAAAAACCGGGCAAGUGCGAGUCGGACUCGCGCACGAAGGAUUCCGUACCAUAAAGCAAAAAAAAACGGAAAAAAUUCAAAAACAAAACGGUCACCCAUCCAAGUACUGACCACGCCCGACGUUGCUUAACUUUGGUCAAAAAUCACGUUUGUUGUAUGGGAGCCCCAUUUAAAUCUUUAUUUUAUUAUGUUUUUAGUAUUUGUAUAGCGGCAACAGAAAUACAUCAUCUGUGAAAAUUUCAACUGUCUAGCUAUCACGGUUCGUGAGAUACAGCCUGGUGACAGACGGACGGACGGACGGACGGACAGCGAAGUCUUAGUAAUAGGGUCCCGUUUUACCCUUUGGGUACGGAACCCUAAAAAUCAGUAA